rnacentral:rRNA from 1 species
CGCAACGAAAGCGAAUGGCGGGACGCUCUCCCGCAGGGGGGCGGCGCCGCCGGCCGGACGUCCUCGAGGCGGACCGAGCCGGAGCGCUCGCGUCGGGACCCGAAAGGUGGUGAUCUAUCCGUGCGCGCGGCGAAGCCGGGGGAAACCCCGGUGGAGGCCCGUCGACGGUACUGACGUGCAAAUCGUUCGUCCGACGUGCGAAUAGGGGCGAAAGACCAAUCGAACCUCCUAGUAGCUGGUUUCCGCCGAAAUUUCCCUCAGGAUAGCGGCCAUCGCGGAAACGUUUUGACCGGUAGAGCGAACGACUAGAGGUACCGGGGCCGUAACGGCCUCGACCUAUUCUCGAACUCCGAACGGGCAAGGAGCCGGGGUCGCCCGAUCGGACCCCGGACGUGAAGUCGACGAUGGUCGGUGGGCUGGUUUUGGUAAGCAGAACGGGCGAUUCGGGAUGAACCGGAAGCGGGGAGAAAGGGCC